ensembl:miRNA
AUCACCUGUGUAUCUUGUUAAAAUGCAUAUUCUGAUUCAGUAGGUCUGGGUGGGGCAGAGAUUCUGCAUUUUUAACAAGUUCUCAGGUGAUGCUGCU